GCUUUCGUGGUGUAACGGUAACAAACUCGGAGGAUAUUCGAGAGUUCCAGGUUCGAAUCCUAGCGAGAGCA
rnacentral:tRNA from 1 species